rnacentral:rRNA from 1 species
GACAGAGGUCUCGAGCGUUAGGCGGAAUCACUGGGCUUAAAGCGUGUGUAGGCGGAUCGUUAAGUGCCUUGUGAAAUCCCACGGCUUAACCGUGGAACUGCUUGGCAUCUGGCGGUCUUGAGCAACCUAGGGGCAAGCGGAACAAAUGGUGGAGCGGUGAAAUGCGCAGAUAUCAGGAGGAACACCGGUGGCGAAGGCGGGUCUCUGGGCCGAUACUGACGCUGGAGGAGCGAAAAGCGUGGGGAGCGAACAGG